CGCGGGCAAAACAACACGUGACCGCGGCCUCACGCCGCGGCCGCGGCCGCUCGGGCUGCGGGCGCGGCGGAGGGGCGCGGGGGGCGGCGGGCCGAGGUCCGCUUGCUCGUGCUUAGUCCUGGAAGCCGAGCGCGUCGGGAGAAGCACGGUGCCCUGCUGGAAACGUGUUAACAGCCAGAGCCCUCAGAUCUGCCGCCCACUGAGUCGCAGACUUCCAAGCCUGCUCGAGCCUUGACAAAAGCCGCGACUCUGAGCAUCCAAUUGACAGUGAUGCCUUCUAAAUGAACCGAAACGUAACCACAGCGCAUUUCUAGUCUACGAAACGCAGGAAUAAGAAUGCUCUGUGAUUUGUUGCUGUGGCUACUGUUUGAAGAUGAUAGCUUUGCAUCUCAGCUUCCUUACUUCUGUGUUCCAAAACUGUGCUAAAACCACCAUGAAAUGCCUGACUGCUACACAUAGAGAAGGUUUAUGGACAACACCUGGCAGUGCUCAGGGGCUACUCCUGUUUCUGUGCUCAAGGGUCACUUCUGCUACCACUUAGAAAACCACAUGAAGUGCCAGCGGUUUAGUCUGUGUCCUUGCCACAUGUAAGGAAAGUUUCUUAAUCCCUGUUCUAUUUCUCUCAUCCACUGAGACCUUUAUUUUAUUCACAGUAGCUAUCCUGGUCCAUGCACUAAUAAUCAACUCUCCCAGCAAACUGAAGUGCUCUUAUCCUGGGUUUACCCUACUUGAAUUUCCAUACUGGCAGCAGGAUAUUUUUCCCAUAUGUGUCACUAUUGUCAUGUUGUUCCCUGCAAAGGGUUCCAAACCUCUCGAUCCCUUUCUUUGUUAUAUCAAAACUUAAACCCCGGUAUAUUAAAUGCUUUCUUUCCAAUUAACACUACAUCUAACCAUUUUUAUACGCUUUCUGUACAGCCUAUUCUCUCAAAUUCACCUCCCAUUUAUUAAAAUACAUAGUCACUUCCCAGGCUUCCAGUUAGAUUAUUUUCUCUUGAUGCAUUCUGCAUUUGACUUAGCCAUCACCAAUUUUACUUAGGUUAUUUCUCAUAUAUAAACGUUUUUCCCUUUCACUAGUUAAUACACAUUACCUUGUUCAAAACUAAGCUCAUGUUCACUCAGAAAACCGUCCCCCACUCACAUAAUCUCAGAAGUACUGCUUGAUUUUCUGAAACAUUGUGUAGAGAUAGAGCUAGAGAUGGUAUUUAUGAAUAGUCAUUAUUAAAUUAUUAAAUGGCAUAAUUACUAAAUGGUAACCAUUAUUAAAAUGAUAUUUUUCCAUUUUUUGGGUCACACCCGGUGAUGUACAGGGGUUACUCCUGGCUCUUCACUCAGAAAUUACUACUGGCGGUGCUCAGGGGACCAUAUGGGAUGCUGGGAAUCAAACCCGGGUCAGCCGCAUGCAAGGCAAAUGCCCUACCCGCUGUGCUAUCACUCCAGACCCUAUUAAAAUGAUAUUUUUCUCACAGUAGAAAAGACAUAUGUACCUGUAUAUUCAUUGCAGCACUGUUCACAAUAGCCAAAAUCUGUAACCAACAUGAGUGCCCUAAAACAGAUGACUGGUUAAGGAAACUUUGGUACAUCUACACAAUGGAAUACUAUGCAGCUAUUAGGAGAGAUGAAGUCAUGAAAUUUGCUUAUAAAUGGAUAGACUUGGUGAGUAUCAUGCUAAGUGAAAUGAGUCAGAAAGAGAGGGACAGACAUAGAAGGACUGCACUCAUUUGUGGAGUAUAGAAUAACAUCACAUGAGGCUGACACCCAAGGACAGUAGAUACAAGGGCCAGGGGGAUUGCCCCAUAGCUGGAAGCCUGCCUCAUGAGCAGAGAGGAGAACGCAGAUGGAGUAGAGAAGGGAUCAUUAAGAAAAUGAUGGCUGGAGGAACCAGUUGGGAUGGGAGAUGCAUGCCGAAAGUAGAUAAUGGAACAAACAUUAUGACCUCUCAGUGUCUGUGUUGCAAGCCAUAUGCCCAAAAGAAGAGAGAGAGUGUGGGGAAUAUUG